rnacentral:lncRNA from 1 species
AUAUUAUUUGUCUUAUGGUCUCAUUUGUUAUGAGCUCUUGGUUGUCACCAACAAACAUUUACUGAGCACCUGUUGGGUGCAGGGCAUUGUGUUACAGACUGUGGAUAUAAAUUGAAAUGGGAAAUUUUCUAUGCUUUAAAGAGGCUAACAAUUGAUUUCAUGAGACAGGAAACACAUAUAAAAUAAUUAUAGUACCAUAUGGCAAACAAUGGCAAGUGGUGGAUAAAACAUAGUCAGAAAAUGACAUGGAAGUUGAGAGAAAUGUCACUUUUGUGAAGCUUUGUGGUCUUACACAACUUGCUUAAUUCUUCCUAGCUUCAGUUUUCUUACCUGCAAAGUGGGUGUGCUGUGAGAAUUAUAUCAGAAAAUACAUAUAAAUCACUUAGUGCCUGACACAGAGACCAUUGAAUAAAUGGAAAUAGUUAUUAAUAUUUUCUUCUCUUCUUUCCUUCCUCUGGUUUUUUCCCUCUUCUUACUUAUCUUUCCUGAAGUCUCAGACUAAAUAAUAGAAAGGACUCAGCCUUUAAGGAAAGUACAGAGAAGUUAGAAACUCAUGGGGAAGAAGUUUUUGACAUGGGGAAGUGAAAUCAUGUGUGCUCCCUUCUCCCCUGCCUCCAGCUCCAUCUGCUUUUUCUACGUCCUAAGUGAGGCUCUGCUCUUGAAUCCUUCACUCCUUUCUUCUCCUGGCAAUAUGGACAUGAUCCCCCUCCAAGUCUGAGGAUAACCUACACCAUAUUCCAAAGUGUGAGAUAAGUAGAAUUUCUCUUUAGGGCUCCAUUCCCCGAAAGAGCAUCUUAGAAGGGAUAUCUUUCCUUUCCUUCCCCUAAACUCAUUAAUUGUAGAAUUUUAUUCCCUAAUGCCAUGUGUCACUAAAUGGCAGAAGAAGGUCAGUACUUGGCUGGCAGGGGUGUUUGUUUGUUUUUUGGCAUGAACAGUGUUUUUUUUUUUCUCUCUCUCUCUCUCUUUUACUUUCCUUGCUUACUUGCUAUUUUUAUUUUUUCAGCUGAACCCACAUCUAAAAAAGAAUUCUUUGCAGUAUCAAGGAAAGAACAAAUAAGCAAUCAAACAGCAAAAUACCUAGAAGCCAGAAAAAAUCUGUAUGGUGAAUAA